rnacentral:lncRNA from 1 species
CAGUAUAUUAACUAGGACAGUUGCGUUUCAAAGGGUGCACUUAUUUUGUUACUUUACGCAUGCAGGAUUAGAUUUAUAAUUGUAUCAUUAACCAAAGGUUGAGAGCAACUGGUCAGGUUAAAGUUCAAUAGUCAAAGAAAUCCACUGCAGGAGGGCAGACAGAGCGACAAUUCCCUUCAUCAUAAAUAAACUGGUCAGAGUACAAACAGGAUUAUUUCAGAAAAUGAUCCCCUCGGUAUCGGGCCUGACAUCCAUAACUGCAGUGGGCAGCCAGACAGGCUGUGUUAAGGACCAUCGGUAGGAUGCUGCAGGAGAACAGAAGCAUCAGAGAGAGACUGGUCUCCCUCAGCCAUAGCAUAGGCUAUACAUUGAACUCAGUCUGAAGACUAGAUUACAAUCUGGGAAUGAUACAUAGAUUAUGGAACUUCUCUUUCCCUCUCAAACUCAGGAAUGGAAUAUUUUUUAUUUGUUUCCCUUCAAUGUUAUGAUUUUGUUUUAACCAAGUUUAUGGACUACCUGGCAAAUGUGCUGAUUUGAGAUGGAAUGAAGAUGAGGUUAUUUAUGUUACCUGAAACUAAACCUGUACUGUACAUCUCGAGCAAUCUGUUCCUAUAGUUUCCUCUGGUUGAAGAAAUAGACUAAUAUACGUUGGUUUUGAUGGGGAACACACAGAUUUUUACUGUUGUCAACUAUUUUGACUGUUGUCAUGGGGAACAAAGAGUUCUGAAUUAAAACAACUUCUUGAGGAGAAAGUGUUGUUAAUUUCUG